GUGAAGGUGCAAGCCUCGGGUCCCUCAUGCUCGCAGGUCCCUGGGCACCCCGUGAAGGGAGAGCGUGACAUGGUCCUGAUUUUCCUGUCAGCCCUGGUGGGACUAGCUGACUUUGGUCAUGCCCAAAAGGACUCUGUGCUCCAGUUCCCAGCAGAAAUGACCAUCCAGGCGGGACGCAAGGCAACGCUGCACUGCAAUUUCUCCACCAGCGAUUCCAAUCCCUACAUCUUCUGGUACCAGCAGCACCAGACCCAGUCCCUUCAGAUGCUGCUACAAGUAAGCAAGUACAGAGCUCACGAGGCAUCAGGGAGGUUCUCCUCCACACUGUCUGCAAAGGACUCCCAGGUGCUUCUGCAUGUGCGAGACACCGAGCUCCAGGACAGCGCUGCCUAUUUCUGUGCACUGAGCCCACACUGGUGCCCACAGCUGGCAGCAGUGCACAGAAACGUGGGUGUGCUCUGA